GGUUGACCCUCGGAUC
rnacentral:rRNA from 1 species